rnacentral:lncRNA from 1 species
GCAAGAGCUCAGUGUCCUUCCACAUUGUGUCACCGGUUGUACCCUGAGACAGAUUCUCCAAGUCUUAGAACAUGGAUAUGCAGUGAGAGUGAGGUUUACGUAGAAAAGUCUUUGUGUCUUGGGAGUGCCAUGUGUAUUGAAUGUCUAUGACUCAUGUCUCCCCUUGACUCACUUCUUGGCUGGGCUACAUGACUCAUCAGGCCUGGUAGGUUCAGGGCAGUGUAGCUGGUGGGGAAGGGCUAAGUGAAGAGGGGCUGUCUAGACCUGGGGAGCAUGGUUAUAAUGAGCUUUUUCAAACGUACAACUCAACUCUCUUGCACCUAGGAAGUAUCUUCAUCCAGAAGGAGUUCUCAGUCCUUUUUCUGAUUUUAACACUGCAGUCAACUGCAGACAAAGCCGCAAUCUUGUGACUUCACAGAGCCUCAUGGGCUUUUGAGUUGACCAACUUGAGAAAAAUUUCUGACUUGAUGCAUGAAAUGAAACGAAGGCAGGUGACACAUAAAGGAAAUGACAAGGUAAAUAAGCAUCCAAGCUCCUGUCUGCAAAAUUCAUCCCAAGCUCCCACCACCUUGUCAAACUCUUCAAGGGAAACAUUAUUGCCUUAAUUGCUUAAGCCCAAUUUGCAUAAUAUGGAGCUCUGACAGCCACAAAAACAGGGAUGCAAAAAGGAGAUUAACAAGUGAGGAGCACGCUUAGCCAACCCUGUGCAGUUUGGAAAUGAGAGCAGAGAAGAAUUCAUCGGAUGGGUGGGUUAGCUGUUUGAUCCGCUCCCAGUCCCUCCCCGCUGUACCUCCUUCUCCCCAUCCCACCUUCAGGUUUGUUUGUUUUUCAUUUGCAUGCAUUGGCUCCUAGCAUGUGCCCAUGUGCCCAGACUGUUAAUUGCCAUUCCUAGCAGAGCCUCCUUCAGGCCCUGGUAAAGCUCAGGCAGCAUCAGCCAGUACAGAUUUAAACACAGCCUUUCCUCUUUACACCAAGCUCAUCCAAAUAUCCAAAAUGUUAACACUGCUUGGGAAGGCAGGGACAGUGUCUUAGUCACCUUUGUACCUUUAGUGUCUUUUUAUAAAAUUAAAUUGAUAUCUCUUUGGAAGAGUCAUGGAUAGUCAACUCCC